GGGGGCGUAGUUCAGUUGGUUAGAAUGCCGGCCUGUCACGCCGGAGGUCGCGGGUUCGAGUCCCGUCGCUCCCG
rnacentral:tRNA from 2 species